CUGCUCCAGCACUUUCAUGACAAGGAUGUCACGUUAACAGCACCUAUGUGGAAGAAGCUCCACGUCCGGGGAUGCUGGAGCCUCCAACGUCUCCCAUGCCUAGAUGUCCAGCCGGCCGAGAAGGUGAAGGUGAGCGGCGAGAGGAGGUGGUGGGACAAGCUGCACUGGGACUCACCCUCUCGCCGAAACAGCUACGAGCCCAAGCUUCCACCGAAGUUUGCGUCCUUCGACGAGCGGGCCGUGAUGACCAGCUACCUGAGAUGAUCAAUCAACUCAAGCUCAUCAGCACAUCCAUGCUGCUAUCCAUCAUUUGAUACAGAAGUCCAAGCCCAGACUUGUUUGUGGCCUGGUGGGCCGUCAGAACAGUUUACGGAGCAGAAAUGGUGACAGAGAACCUCACAGAGAUGCGGCGGCCAUCUCCGCCGCUGCCCUCCGAAUCUCCAUUUCCGGCCGUCCACCAAGCCUGGCCAUCUCCGGCCGUCCUUGUUUUUGCUCGCUAAUCCAGGAUAGCUGCAAGCGUAUCAUCUGUGAAUGUGACGGGCUAGUUCUGGAACCACUCGUGUAUCCAAACAGCAGUUUGCAAGUGGAAAGAAAUACUCUGGUUUUGUUCUGUGCUCGGUAAGAAAGAUGCACCGGUAACCGGUUUUACUAAAAAUAUGUGCAUUUCCACAGGAAAGACAAAAGCUCAAGCCAAUUAAGAGCUCACCGCUGAGAAUAACAACACGCAGUCCACUAUAAGAAUAAAAAUCAUUGUCACACCAGAUGAUCUUUUGCCUUUGGCUUUAAUUUACUUUCCUUUGUAAAGGAGGAGGUGACGCGUGGUCAGCACAUCACAGAUUUGCCUCUCCGUCAAAUGUCAUAUUGUUUCUUUAUCAUGAUCUCCCUUUCCGUUUAUACUUGUCACUGCGGCAAAGAUCACUCCCAAUUGUGUUAUCCAGUAAUUGGCCUCUCACAUGUUGCAUCUUUUCUAUCUUAAUGCAUGGCAUACAGUCCUCAUGUACUUUAUUAGGAAAAGAAAAAUCUUCUACCUACAGCGGAUAGAAAAAUGAAUCGAGUUGAAACUAGACAGGAAUAUUAUCAUCUACGGCAGCAAUGCCUAACAGGGUCAUUAAUUAAUUAAGCAGGGCGAGGGUUGCAGAUAUAUAAGCCUCAACCUUGAAUCGCACAGUUCAAUCAAGAAACAAGGAUUAAUCCUUCUUGUCGUUAAACCAUACGCAUCAUGCGAAUUCAACUUUAGUUAAAGACCUUUUGGCAAGCAUAUGCACAUGGCGAGUUAUCCCUUCUCUUUUUUUUUGAGAAAAGGCUGGAAAUUCAUUCACUGCAACCCCAUGUCUUUACCUAGUACAUACUCUAAUACAUCAGGGGGAUUGCCCUCCCAUAUACUUCAUCGCUCAUGCGAGUACAACCAGCCUUUGCUAAUACAUGCGCACAAACAUUCGCAUUUCUACAACACCACACAACUUUACAUUCCAUGAAGAGAGAACAAAGCAUUUUAAUCUCCUGAAACAACCCUCCGUAGACAGAUCUGUCCAGCUCCGUCUUAUUAAGCUUUAGGACUGCCUCCGCACAGUCCAACUCCAGAAUGACGUACAACAGACCCAUUUUUCUUGCCAACAACACACCUUCUCUUGCUGCUAGGAGCUCAGAGAGGAGAGGUUCCCGGACCAUUUUAUACUUAGAGCUCAGGCCAGCAAUAAAGUGUCCAGCAGCAUCUCUGAUGAUAACACCGCCACCCAUCCCUUCUCUUCUUUGAUCAUCUUGAUCUGCUUUGUUCCUUUACCCUUCAUCUGUGAGCAAAAUGUAUUCCUUGCUUUUGCUGUAACCAAAGUAUCACUUCUUUGCUCUGGCUGAUGUCUCAGUUUGUGUAUAUAUAAGCAACCGCUGCAAACACUGCAACGUCUCGCCCUUCUGUCCUUGCCAUUUGUUUCCUUGCAACAAAAACUUUCGAUCUUGUUCUUCAAAAUUCCUAGGUGUUUUCACUUACUCUUCUGCAUUCACAUCUAUAGGAUUAAUUCAAUCUGUUUUAUUCUAGUCAUUAUUAAAAAAAAGGAAAAAAUGGUGUUUCUCCAUCUUGAUUGUUGUUGUUCGCAUAUACAAAAUAGUAUUUGUUUCUAGUGAUAAGUACGAACAAAACAAAAAAAAUAUUUUCAUGUUCCAUGUCAUUUGUUCUUUCUUCUACAUUUACAAAUUAAAUUUUUUUCUACAGUCUUCAUUACAAAAAAGAAAACAAACAAAAAAUAUUGGUGUUUUGCCUUCUUGAUUCUUGUUCUUUCGCAUAUAUAGAACAGUCUAAUUUUAUAGUAAUCAAGACAAAAAAAGUUGGUCUUCUACUUCGACAUUGUUCAUUCACAUCUGCAACACAACUCUUUUCUAGUGACCAAAAUUGAAAGAAAAAAAACUCAUUUUUUGCUGCUCUUUAUUGUUGCUCGUUGAGAGCAACAACUACAAUUUGUUUCUUUUUUCAGUUUUCAACCAAGAAACAAAAAUAUAAUCCCUAAAUACAAGAGUUGGCUAGCUUUUUCUCUUUGUUAUAUUGUCUUCUAGUCACAUCUAGACUUCCUAUUUUUUUCUCUUUGUUUUUAUCUAACUUGCUUACUUCCGUAGUUACCAAUUCCUCAAAAAACACCAAAAAGAUUGUUGACUUUUUCCACCAUCCAGACUUUUCAAGUAAAUCUAAUUGGAUCAUGAAAGGAAGCGAUAUACAUAUAUUGAUCGAUUAAUUUAUGGAAGCCUUCGUUUUAAGUGUUGCUGAGUAUUAAUUACUUCGUUUGGUGAUCUAAUUAGAAGCCGCGUGACAUUAUAGAUUAUACUAUACCAAGUUAUUCCUGGUUUUGGAAGUUUCUCAGAGGUCAUACAUAGCUGAGAGAUUAAUUUUGUGGAAAAACUAAAAGUUUGGUACACUACUGAGAAUAAUUCAUGUAUUAUGAGGAGACUUCAUGGGAACAAUGGGCUGAUUUUGAACGGGAGAGGUGGCUUAAGGGUCUGAGAGAUAAAGACUUCUGAUAUAUGAUUAUUAACUUCCUAAUUUAUACUCCCCUUAAUUAAUAGGUGGUGUAUCUGGUGAAAAUCACCUCUAGGGUGAAAACUCCGUGAAAACCAUCGUACAAAGUUCAAAAAAAUUAUCGAGAAAUUACAUAUGUUGAAGAGGUGAUGUUUUAUCUGUGUGUAAAAUUUCAAGUCCAAACUCAAUUACAUUUGGCGGCAACAAAAAAACAAAUUCAGCAUGAACAAUGGUGCUUCACUGUUUGACACUAUUCAUUUGCAUAUUUCUCUUUUUUGUUUCUUUCAAAAGUAUUUGAGUUUCAACUUGAAAUUUUGUAGGUUUGUAGAACAUCACACCUCCAAAUAUACUGUAUUUUAAGAAUUUUUUGAAACUUCUAAACAUGGUUUUCAUGAAGUUUGCACUGAAAUGGUGGUUUUCACCUGAUAUUUGGCGGUACAAUCAAUCAAGCUCAUUGGUUUUAUUUCAUGCAAGCACCAACCUGAUCGAGCCGUUAAAUUGCUGGAUAUAUGACUACUAUUGCUUGCCAUGUAAUCACCAUUCCUUGCUAGUAUUCCCUUUGUUUCAUAAUAGAGUCAUAUUAUAUAUUCGUUAAGAGAAGAGUUUGAUAUGAUCCAUAGUAAUAGCUAUUCUGUGCAAUCGGCGCGCGAUGUAAAAUUACUGACGAUGUAACACCUGACACUAGUACAUGCACCAGCGGUUGCAAGCUGUGCACGCAUGGUGCACACUUCUGAGGCUUGAGCAAUGCAUUGACAAAAACUACCUCACAUGCGCGGCGACGGCGAAAUCCCCUCCCACGCACCGCUGCCACGUCAAUAGGCUGAAUCGAGACCGCUGUCCAGAUGUUAAUUUCAAUCCGAGUGGCAGCAAUGUAUCCUGGAGUUCUGGGGUGGGUCCCAUGGCUUCAUUCACAGAGGCCAUAACAGUCAGGGUUGUCGAGGGACUAAGUGAAGAGUUUGGACCCUUCAAACACGUGAUAAAGGUGGAUUUGAAGCCGUCACCCAUGCCCACGGCAGAUGGAGGUGGCAUCACAAGUAUCAAGCACCAGCUGGCCAUCGCUGCAGCCAAGGAGCUCGGGCUGCUUGACCAAGAAUACAACAGGCUCAAACAAGAGUACGAAGCCGUUCAGUACUACUCCUACGGUAGCAAUGACCUUGCCUCUUAUAAUUUGGAGCAUUACGUGAAGGAUAAAAUAGUUCCUUGGAUUAGCAGGAAGUUAUCAACCGAGAAAUACUUGCUGGUAGUCAAAAAUCUCCGUUGGUGGAUUGAGCCCAGCAAUUUUACAAGGGAUGUCAGGCUUCCUCCGCCUAGUUGGGAAAAUUCUCAUUGGUUCAUCUCGACAAUCACUAAAUAUGCAGGCAAACGGAGCAAGUCAUCUGGCGAUCAAGUUAUAUCCAUUCAUGUGCAUGCUGUGGUUGUGGUGCUUGCCCUGUAUUCACUGCAUCACUCGGCCGAGCACAUAUUCAACAUGACCCGUCAAGAAAAUAAGGAAUAUUGGCAUCACAUAGCCCUCCUUUGCUUUCACUAUGCAACGCUGAUCUUUACCAAACAUUCACCGGUAGUGCCUGUUACCUCGGAUGAGCUCAUCCACCAGUGGGCUGCCCAAGGCAUCCUCCCUCGCAUGCCCAUCAAUGGAGAAGAAGAAGAAACCGGCAACUGCACCUACAGCAGCAGGUGUGCCUAUAUGCAUAGAGUUGGAAGAAUCAUCCUUGAAGCGUUUCAGAAAUACUCUUUGUUGCGGCUACCUUAUUCCCCUGCGAAUAAUGCUGAUCGAGCCACCGGUACUGCUGCACAAUUCUUUUCAUACCAUGGUCUCAUCACAGAAGACAUCACAGUUGAUGCACUCUUUGAGAACAAGAAAAAUUGGAUCACCUUCGUCGAUGACCAUGGAUGGCAUGUAAGCCGAGAAUGGUUGAGCCCGAAGGAAAACAGGGGCGCGACUGCACUUAUUCUAAGAGGUUGUUCACAACAGUCUCUCAUAUUCUCCAAGCUAGACCAUUUCUUGCUCAAACUCUGUUUUCUUCGUAUUCUUGAUCUCUCAUAUACUCCACUAAAAUCACUCCCUUCUUCCGUCGGUUCUCUACUGUACCUUAGGUUGCUUUCACUCAGAGGAUGCCAUGACCUGGAAACUCUUUCAUCAACAAAUACUACCAGUUCAAAUUCCCCAUUGUCCACUCUAUACCAGCUUGAAAUUCUUGAUAUGAAUGGAGUUCCUUUUUCUCAUCUGACACAAGAUGUGGCCAACCAAAAGAGCAAUUUGAUAUUCCUUGACAUGUCCUAUUCACAAGUAACUAGUUUCCCUCCCAAUUUUUUCCAAGGCAUGUCAAAUCUGGAAGAGCUGGUCCUUGUCAACUGCUCCAAGCUUGUGGAGUUGCCUCCUUCCAUGGUUGCACUAUCCAGCUUAACAACCCUUGAGAUCGCUGGCACUCAAAUAAAAUACUUCCCCAAGAAGAUAUUUGAUGAAAUGCAGAAGCUUCAAUCCCUCAAGCUAAUUGACAACAAGAAACUGUUUUCGCUCCUAGAGUCAAUCUCUAGGGCCCAGGGAUUGAUUGGUCUACAUAUUGAAGGAUAUGAGUCGUCCAUGGUGGAAGAAAUAAAAUUGGAAGGGCAUCCUACCCUAACAUCCUUCAUCUUGAUCCGCGCACCUCACAUAAGACGCUUGUCUUUGCGUGGAUGUAGAAAACUUGAGUCUGUCAAGUUCAAGAAUCUUGAUGCUUUGGAGGAUCUUGAUUUGUCUGCUACAGCUAUCAAGGAGCUCCUUGCCGGCAUCCCAAAUGUUCCUCAUCUUAGGCGAUUAAUCCUCGUGGGUGUUCCUUCUCUCAGGCGUUUCCCUUGGCAUAUGCUGGGGCGACUCCCAGAUGUCUUCUACUUGGAUCACUGCAUAGAAGGAAAUGGUAAUCACUCUGACCAUGUUGCCCGGAUACGUGUUAGUGAUCCCAGGUUCUUCCAUAGCUUCUGUGAAAACUUCUGUGGGUUUAGUAAGAGGCGGACGGUUUUUCCAAUCUUUCUAUGUCCGAGUCGAACCAUGCCUUACAAGUAGCAGGCGACAACAUGAUGAAGAAGGCAUGCUUGAUAGCAAGUUGUGGGUGUUGGUGCAGAAGAAAUCAACAUAUGUGGAUGUAUAUACCAACUGUUAUGCAGAUGGAAUUGCAAUUUUGCCAGCAAUUACAGUUCCCCUUCACCAUACUAAGCGCCACGUGGAGAUCAAAAGGACGAUGCACUCGGCACUCGGUGGUUUACGGUAUCUUCUUAGUGUUACCAAAUCAAUAUCAAUAUCAGAUGAUAGUUCAAUCAAUACAUUGGGUUACUUGAGCGAUUUUGCUGAGCUAGAAGAAUGUGAGCUUCGUUGGUGCUGUAAGAUAGGAGUAGUUUUUACUAUACACAUGACAAAUCUACGGAGUAUGCACAUUUGUAGCCUCAAAAGUCUUGUUACCUUCUGUGACAAUUUGAUGUACUUCAGUUCACUAGCACACCUGCAUUUGGAAGACUGCCCAAGAUUGGAGCACGUGGUGCCACGUGGAACAAGACUACCAUGUCUCAAGACGCUUGACAUCCUGUUCUGCUACAACCUCAGGACAAUUUUCACCCACUACGAAUAUGGUACACAAGAAGAUACUUGCCAGCUACGAAGCCUGCAAAGGAUACGACUCCAGGAGCUGCCACUGCUCCAGCACUUCCACUACAACGACGCCACCUUAACAGCACCGAUGUGGAACGAGCUCCACGUCCGGGGUUGCUGGAGCCUCCGACGUCUCCCUCGCCUACAAGAUCAACCGGAGAAGGUGAAGGUGAGCGGCGAGAGGAGGUGGUGGGACAAGCUGCACUGGGACUCACCCUCUCGCCGCAACAGCUACGAGCCCAAGCUUCCACCGAAGUUUGCCUCCUUCGACGAGCGGGCCGUGAUGACCAGCUUCCUCAGAUGAUCAAUCAACUCAAGCUCAUCAGCACUUCCAUGCUGCUAUCCAUCAUUUGGUAUGUGAUUUCACUCGAGCGGCAUAUUUAUCCUCUGUUCAGCGACCGUUCACCAAAGUACCUUCCUAAACACCUGCCCUUGUUAACAGUGUUCCACCAUACCUCCGUACUGUAUAUAUGCCAACUGCCGUUGUUGUGUCCAUCUCAGUGCAUUCAUAACCUACAUGUCAUCUAAAUUCACCCUUGUGUCCAUUCCCUGUCCUCCAUACAUGAAUGUCGUUAAAAAGAGCUUCCAAAUACUUGUGUGAAUUCUACUGUCUCCAAAUAAAAGGUCAGGUUCCAGUCACUUGACCACUGUUGGCUGUGUGAAAUUAAGUUUGUCUCAUCAGAGUAUCAGCUCUUGUAUCUUCUGUGUGUGUUUGUGCCACUUGAGUUGUAAUAAGAUAUGUAAUGUUGGUGUUGGGCGUGAGAUAAGAACCCACGAUUUAAUUACAAAGUAUGAUUUUGUAAUUAUGAGUUUGACUCAGUCCGCGUUGUUUCAUCAACAAAAUAAUUAUUG